rnacentral:rRNA from 1 species
AUUGAACGCUGGCGGCAUGCCUUACACAUGCAAGUCGAACGGCAGCGGGGGAGAAGCUUGCUUUUCCUGCCGGCGAGUGGCGAACGGGUGAGUAAUACAUCGGAACGUGCCCUGUAGUGGGGGAUAACUAGUCGAAAGAUUAGCUAAUACCGCAUACGACCUGAGGGUGAAAGUGGGGGACCGCAAGGCCUCAUGCUAUAGGAUCGGCCGAUGUCUGAUUAGCUAGUAGGUGGGGUAAAGGCCUACCAAGGCGACGAUCAGUAGCUGGUCUGAGAGGACGAUCAGCCACACUGGGACUGAGACACGGCCCAGACUCCUACGGGAGGCAGCAGUGGGGAAUUUUGGACAAUGGGCGAAAGCCUGAUCCAGCAAUGCCGCGUGUGUGAAGAAGGCCUUCGGGUUGUAAAGCACUUUUGUCCGGAAAGAAAUGGCUCUGGUUAAUACCUGGGGUCGAUGACGGUACCGGAAGAAUAAGGACCGGCUAACUACGUGCCAGCAGCCGCAGUAA